GACGAACGCUGGCGGCGUGCUUAACACAUGCAAGUCGAACGGAAAGGCCCUUCGGGGUACUCGAGUGGCGAACGGGUGAGUAACACGUGGGUGAUCUGCCCUGCACUUUGGGAUAAGCCUGGGAAACUGGGUCUAAUACCGAAUAGGACCACGCGCUUCAUGGUGUGUGGUGGAAAGCUUUUGCGGUGUGGGAUGGGCCCGCGGCCUAUCAGCUUGUUGGUGGGGUAAUGGCCUACCAAGGCGACGACGGGUAGCCGGCCUGAGAGGGUGACCGGCCACACUGGGACUGAGAUACGGCCCAGACUCCUACGGGAGGCAGCAGUGGGGAAUAUUGCACAAUGGGCGCAAGCCUGAUGCAGCGACGCCGCGUGAGGGAUGACGGCCUUCGGGUUGUAAACCUCUUUCAAUAGGGACGAAGCGCAAGUGACGGUACCUAUAGAAGAAGCACCGGCCGACUACGUG
rnacentral:rRNA from 1 species